rnacentral:rRNA from 1 species
AUACGGAGGGUCCAAGCGUUAUCCGGAUUCAUUGGGUUUAAAGGGUCCGCAGGCGGGAAAAUAAGUCAGUGGUGAAAGCCUACAGCUCAACUGUAGAACUGCCAUUGAUACUGUUUUUCUUGAGUAUAGAUGAAGUGGGCGGAAUAUAUCAUGUAGCGGUGAAAUGCAUAGAUAUGAUAGAGAACACCGAUUGCGAAGGCAGCUCACUAAACUAUUAAUGACGCUCAGGGACGAAAGCGUGGGGAGCGAACAGGAUUAGAAACCCUAGUAGUCC